AAUGAGGAGAUAUGUCACUGAUGUUUGCAGCGGCAUUGCAUUUGGCAGGAAAAUUGGCCAGUAAAUUCUUGAAGUAUAUUAUUUCUUCUUGGUCCUGAACAACAGUAAAUUUAGCAGAUGCUUGAACUUGGUUGGCCUCGAUGGCCUGAAAUGCCUAAGGCUGCAAUGCCUCUGGCUAGUCCUUUUUAAGUCAUGCGCCCAUGGAAAGAUUGUUGGAUAAUAGCUUGCAACAUGGAGGUUCACCUAUCUUGCACAUGAAGUAGCGUUGCUACAUGGCACAAACCCAACAUCAAUGGUGGAAAAGGGAUUAGGCUUGGCAGACGAACCAACGAUUUCCUUUGAAGUUGGAGUUAUACUCAUCCUUUGUGACGAUUCAAACUUUGUUCUGCUUGUAUAUGCAUUUCUAGUAGCAGUGCCUGUGACAACCGUUUUCUCAGCAUCAAGAAACUGAACGGGAUUCUCAUCUGAAUUUUCAAAACUAGACGAAUGAACCUCGUCUAGGAUAUUCUCAACAUUCACAUCAAGGCAGGUUUUAGCAGAUUAGGAAAGGGUAUUACGGUUAGAAAUUUCUUGUUUUUCUGUUAUGAAAAUUUUGCAGGUUAAGGUUGGUUUAAGAUGGUAGCAUGCUUUGCCUUUUUACCGUGUCAUUCGUUCUAUAAUACUUAUGCUUUUCUUUGCCAUGGGCUACUGUCCAUUUGUUUGUUUGGUUUUGCUGCCAUGUCAGUUAGGUGAAAGAUGCUAGGUUAAUAUUAGAUGGAUGGUGACGACUGAAUGUUAGGUUUAAAUUGAUUUGUCAAGGUGAAUAGUGAAUGAAAACUGAAUUGUGAAUGUUUAUUGAUUGGCCGCACGUGAAGGACGUGUUUGUUUGUGCGUUAGCAAUUGGUUCUCUUUUUUACAUUGCAGAAAACAAGUCAUAACAAUUCUGAACCGUUGGUUUUGUGGCAAGGUAUUGGUCAAGGAGUUUGGAUCGUGAUCACAUUUGGAGACGCACCUUUCGCUCAUGGAUGCUCGGAAUCUUCCUAUCUUGGAAUUGUUGCUAAUGAGCUAGGAGUUUGGCUAUCAUAUCAAGUUGAACUAUUAUGGAAUUUUGUUGUGAAAUUUGAAAUGAACCUUGUUAAUUGGAAAAAUGUAAAAAUGUAAUAUAUGUAAUUUUUGUUGUA